rnacentral:rRNA from 1 species
ACACACCGCCCGUCCAAGCCAUGGGAGCCGGGGGUGCUUGAAGUGCGUCGCCGCAAGGCGCGCCCUAGAGCAAAACCGGUGACUGGGCUAAGUCGUAACAAGGUAGC